rnacentral:rRNA from 1 species
AACAGGAUUAGAUACCCUGGUAGUCCACGCCGUAAACUAUGUGUGCUAGUUGUUAGGCCUUCAGGGCUUAGUGACGCAGCUAACGCAUUAAGCACACCGCCUGGGGAGUACGGCCGCAAGGUUAAAACUCAAAGAAAUUGACGGGGACCCGCACAAGCGGUGGAGCAUGUGGUUUAAUUCGAAGCAACGCGAAGAACCUUACCAACCCUUGACAUACUCGUCGCACUUACCAGAGAUGGUUCGUUUCAGUUCGGCUGGACGAUGUACAGGUGCUGCACGGCUGUCGUCAGCUCGUGUCGUGAGAUGUUCGGUUAAGUCCGGCAACGAGCGCAACCCCUAUUUCUAGUUGCCAGCAUUCAGUUGGGCACUCUAGCAAAACUGCCCGUGACAAGCGGGAGGAAGGUGGGGACGACGUCAAGUCAUCAUGGCCCUUACGGGUUGGGCUACACACGUGCUACAAUGGCGGUGACAAUAGGCUGCGAUGGGGUGACCCUGAGCAAAUCCCUAAAAGCCGUCUCAGUUCGGAUUGCACUCUGCAACUCGAGUGCAUGAAGCUGGAAUCGCUAGUAAUCGUGAAUCAGCAUGUCGCGGUGAAUACGUUCCCGGGUCUUGUACACACCGCCCGUCAAGCAAUGGGGAGUUGGUUCUACCCGAAGAUGGUGCGCUAACCUUUUAGGAGCAGCCAGCCACGGUAGGGUCAGCGACUGGUGCUAAGUCGUAACAAGGUAACC